CCCUUAGAUGUUCUGGGCCGCACGCGCGCUACACUGAUGCAUUCAACGAGUCUAAAGCCUGCUCUGAUAGGGGUGGGUAAUCUUUUGAAUGUGCAUCGUGAUUGGGAUAGAUGAUUGCAAUUUUUCAUCUUCAACGAGGAAUGCCUAGUAAACGCAAGUCAUCAGCUUGCAUUGAUUACGUCCCUGCCCUUUGUACACACCGCCCGUCGCUCCUACCGAUUGAAUGAUCCGAUGAAUAUCAUAGACUGAGAGUAUAAGCAGGUUCGCCUGUCUUUGCUUCUCGGGAAGUGAAGUAAAUCUUAUCAUUUAGAGGAAGGAGAAGUCGUAACA
rnacentral:rRNA from 1 species